AACGAUGUAGUUUAUUUAUAAAAUGUGUGCUCUGCAAGCACUUGAUAGUCGUUGUAGUUUCUCAUCGUUG
rnacentral:tRNA from 1 species